rfam:TPA: Bos taurus chromosome 11, whole genome shotgun sequence.
UCCCUGACGGUCCAGAGGUUAAGACUCUGUACUUCUAAUGCAGGGAGCACAGGUUUGAUCCCUGGUUGGGGAA